rnacentral:rRNA from 1 species
UACGGAGGGUGCGAGCGUUGUCCGGAAUCAUUGGGCGUAAAGCGCGCGCAGGCGGCCUUUUAAGUCUGAUGUGAAAGCCCACGGCUCAACCGUGGAAGGUCAUUGGAAACUGAAAGGCUUGAGUACAGAAGAGGAAAGCGGAAUUCCACGUGUAGCGGUGAAAUGCGUAGAGAUGUGGAGGAACACCAGUGGCGAAGGCGGCUUUCUGGUCUGUAACUGACGCUGAGGCGCGAAAGCGUGGGGAGCAAACAGG